GAUUCCCUGCGCUGUUGGUGAUCAGCGGAGUAUUGAGCCAACUCUCUUGAUUAGGGUUGCCUAAUUGCCGUGCAAUGGAAAUCUUCAUUGAUUACCUGCACACGGCAUGGGCAUAGCCCACCUAAUUAUUUUAGGUUUAAUCAUUGCGGUGACACGGCAGGGUGGGGAAUUU
rnacentral:other from 1 species